AACAGGUGUUCAUUUGCUAGCUGGGGAAGAUCCUGGAAGUCCCUCCUUGCUUUUGUGCAUCUCUCCCAGUGUUGACUCCAUUCCAGCUGAGGCUCUGUAAAGCAGUGCUGAUGCUCCAUGCCAGGAAGGCUCUGCUAUCCCAGCACCUGGCCUUGUACCUGGUCCCCAGAAACAUCCUUGCACAAACCAAGCACCUGCAUUCCCUGGGCAGUGUGGGCAUGGUGCUGGAAAGAAGGGGAUGCUGACCAACCCCACACAACAGCUGCAAUGAAAGCACCAGCAUCACCCGAAGCACUUGUGUUACCAACCCCAGCUGGAGCAAUGAGACUGUUUGGUCACAAGGCAACACUGGCACACAGCAAGGAUGGAAACAAAGGGGAAUGUGUUGCAUAGCCCUUGGAUAAAGUGUUGUCAAGCUGUGCGAGUUAUUCAGCAAAGAUGUGGGUGAGCCAAGUAUCCAGGCAAAUCAUUUCCAAGGGGAGAGAUUUAUCUUGUGGCCUUCCACCCUUGGAGAGCAGCUGGAAGAUUCUCAGGGGUUUGGUCAUCCUUGGAGAAGCCACUUUGGCUCUGAGACCUUCAUGCUGCAGACUGGUGCAACCAAACAGCAUCUGCUGGGCUUUGGAUUGUGAUGCAGGUAUGAAGGUAGCAUGGGUGGAAAGGUUCUGCUGCCCAGGGGAGAUGGCAAUGAAGGAUGUGGAUGCCCACGUGCAUCCAGUGUGGGGAUGCUGGUUUCUCAUCUGGUUUUCUCUACUUCACCAAAAAAUGACUGACAAAGGGUUGUGCUCAAGAUAAGCAGCAUCCCCAACUCCUGAAGACAAACCUGCAUCCCUUCACUGUGCAUUUAUGGAGCUGUUUGGAGAGAGAAAGCCCCCACCACAGCUUGCUCCCAUUGCCUGAUGACAACCUGGCUUUUCCAGAUAAAACAGCAAACACCGCACCUGAUGUCUGCCUGCAACAGGAUGAAACCAGAAGGCAUCAGAUGCUUUCUAACAUCAGCUCUGUGAUUUUGCCUUUAGGGUCCUGGCUGCUGGGUGGGCACCAGGAAUGUGUGACCAGCUCUUAGAGCCCCCCAGAAAGGAAUAAUUACUAUGGAUGGAAAUGACUGCAUGGAGACAGAUGUGCCAUAGGGAAAACAUCACUGCAGCAGCUUUGAAAGGACACAGAGAAGGCUCUGGGCUGGUCCCCAUGAGGGACAUCACACAUCCCCUGCCUCCCAUCCCACGGUCCCCCUCUGUCCAGGGCUGAAUGCAUGAUGGACACAAUUCACAGAAACACAACAGUGGAAACCAAGUUUGUGUUAAGCAGACAAAUCCAUGAACUUCCUUCAGGGGCUUUGCUCCAGUGCAGAGAGUUCCCACGCAGGGCAAAACACAACAGAACCACUGGGGCUCCUUGAAGAGCAGCUUCAUCUCCAAGUAUCAUCUUAAAAAGAUCUUUUUCCCAAAUAUUCAUCCAACCAAAACAGGCUUGCAGCCUUCCUUGGGGUCUUCUCCAGCUGUUCCAGAUGUGUCUGAGAGUGCCCAGGCAGUACUGAAGGGCCACCUCCUAUGCUCACCAACUCCACAUCACAGCAGGGAUGGGAUGAGGUGAGAUGCAGCAUCGACCCAUGGCCAUGCACUUGGAGCAGUGGGAGGGAAGGCGGAGAGCAGGGGAUGGAGAACAGGCAGCACCUCCCCAGGUCCUUUUGUUGCUCCUGAUUUGUGUCCAUUUAUGGUCCUUUGCUGUUUCCCCCUCCUCUCCUUCAGCACUAACACAAGUGCAAAAAUGCGAGUUUGGCACAAACCCUAAGCAAACCUCUGCCUUUGCCCUCCUGGCGAGGUGCUAUCUGGUCUCCAGGGACUCCAAGUAUUCCAGUGCUAUGUCGUAGCAGAAGUGAUACUGCUCCUGUAUGGGGACAGAGGAGAGUGUUAAGCUCCCAGCAUGGCCAGCUUUAUAUUAUAGCAAAAAUAACUGUUUGAGCUCAUAAGCUUUGUCCAUCCUUGUCCUCAUUUACGUGAGCUGCUCUUGUGCCUUCUCAUUCUAAUACAAUUUAUAGCACACAAAACUGUAGGGUAACGCAGACAGCAGAGGUGCCCCUCCUACUGAGAUGUUGCUCUUUCAAGCAUCCAAUGAGCAAAACAGCCGGAAGGUGGAAAAUCACCACAAGCCAGGUUUCAGAUGCUCUUGGAUGGGAGCAUCCUGGAUGCAAGAGAAGACUGAGCCUGGAGGAAAGGGAGGGAGCUCACCUCCCAAACUCCACAGCAGCAGCACAGAGAUGGCAGAUUGAG